rnacentral:rRNA from 1 species
CGCGGGCAAGGGCCUGAUACUUCUCGGUUAAACUCGGAAGUUCAACUUCUAAUCGCGAUGGUAGCUGCAAAGCUGAGAGGCGAAGAGGGGAAGGGGAAUUCCCGCGUAGCGGUGAGAUGCGUAGAGAAGUGGAGAACGCCAGUCUGCGAAGGCGGCCUUUGGGGUGGAACUGGCGCUGAGGCCGGGAAGAGUGGAGGAACCAACAGGAUUAGAUAGUCCUGGUAGUUCCACGCGUAUAACGAUGAAUGCUAGGUGGUAAGAGUUUCGAUACCCUUGGUACCGAAGUUAACACAUUAAGCAUUUCGCCUGGGGAGKUCGGUUGCCAGAAUGAAAAUCAAAGGAAUUGGCGGGGACCCGCCCCAGCCAUGGAGUAUGUGGUUUAAUUUGAAACAACSGGAAGAACCUUUCCCGGUUUUGACAUUCCUUUGACCGUCCUAGAGAUAGGGGUUUCCUUUGGGACAGAAGAGACAGGUGGUGCAUGGUUGUUGUCAACUUGUGUUGUGAGAAUGUGGGUUAAGUUCCGCAACGAGCGCCACCCUUGAUUUUAAUUGCCCACCCUUUAAGGUGGGCACUYUAGGAUGACUGCCGGUGACAAACCGGAGGAAGGUGGGGAUGACGUCAAAUCAUCAUGCCCCUUAUGACCUGGGCUACACACGUACUACAAUGGCCGAUACAACGGGAAGCGAAACCGCGAGGUGGAGCCAAUCCUAUCAAAGUCGGUCUCAGUUCGGAUUGCAGGCUGCAACUCGCCUGCAUGAAGUCGGAAUUGCUAGUAAUCGCGGAUCAGCAUGCCGCGGGGAAUACGUUCCCGGGUCUUGUACACACCGCCCGUCACACCACGAGAGUUUACAACACCCGAAGCCGGUGGGGUAACCGCAAGGAGCCAGCCGUCGAAAGGGGUGGCC